rnacentral:rRNA from 1 species
CCUACGGGAGGCAGCAGUGGGGAAUAUUGCACAAUGGGGGAAACUCUGAUGCAGCAACGCCGCGUGCGUGAAGAAGUCUUUCUGUAUGUAAAGCUCUAUCAGCAGGGAAGAAGACGACGGUACCCGAUUAAGACUCCACGGCUAACUACGUGCCAGCAGCCGCGGUAAUACGUAGGGAGCAGGCGUUAUCCGGAGUUACUGGGUGUAAAGGGAGCGUAGGCGGCAUAGCAAGUCUGAAGUGAAAGCCCAAGGCUCAACCAUGGGACUGCUUUGGAAACUGUUAGGCUAGAGUGCUGUAGAGGUAGGCGGAAUGCAUGGUGUAGCGGUGAAAUGCGUAGAUAUUAUGAAGAACACCAGUGGCGAAGGCGGCUUACUGGACAGUAACUGACGUUGAGGCUCGAAAGCGUGGGGAGCAAACAGGAUUAGAUACCCCUGUAGUC